CGGUGGGUCUAGGCGGGGAGCUAGGGGUUCCCUGAGAACCCGUAAGGGUUCGACCGCAAACCCCCUAUACGGCGGGCCGAAAGCUGAGGUGAGGCGCACCCAGCUACAUCAAACCCCUCCAAAACCUUCCAUGAACACCUGUCCCCUAGGGUCGGCGGAGGUGGUUAUCCAACCUGUAGGGGUUGGGUGACCACCUAACCAGGUGAACCUGGCUAGGCCCGGGAGAAGGAGUUAACAGGUUCAACCCCUCCCGAAGGAGCAACCUAAGCCUGGACGCUUGACGCUUAGGGGGGUGCGGGUGUGAGAAGGCUUGAGGAGGUUUGGUGUAGUAUGGGCGUCGAGCCUCAGGACCCACCG
rnacentral:SRP_RNA from 1 species